rnacentral:rRNA from 1 species
GAUGAAUGCUGGCGGCGUGCCUAACACAUGCAAGUCGAGCGGUACGCGGGUAGUUUACUAUCUGGCGACGAGCGGCGGACGGCUGAGUAACGCGUGGGAACAUACCCCAAAGUGAGGGAUAACUGCCCGAAAGGGUGGCUAAUACCGCAUAUGGUCUUCGGAUUAAAGGAUUUAUCCGCUUUGGGAAUGGCCUGCGUAUGAUUAGAUAGUUGGUGAGGUAAUGGCUCACCAAGUCGACGAUCAUUAGCUGGUCUGAGAGGAUGACCAGCCAGACUGGAACUGAGACACGGUCCAGACUCCUACGGGAGGCAGCAGUGAGGAAUCUUCCACAAUGGGCGAAAGCCUGAUGGAGCAACGCCGCGUGCAGGAUGAAGGCCUUCGGGUCGUAAACUGCUUUUAUGAGUGAAGAAUAUGACGGUAACUCAUGAAUAAGCACCGGCUAACUACGUGCCAGCCGCCGCGGUAA